rnacentral:snoRNA from 1 species
UGCCGAUGAUGAAAAAAUAUCACCAUCUUUCGACUGAUAUUUAGUGAUGUUUUCUUCACUUUGACCUGAGGCAUGCU